GAGGGAGUAGUUUAAUUAAGAACUUAAAAUUGUCAAUUUUAAAGUGAGUCAAACUCCUCCCUUU
rnacentral:tRNA from 1 species